AUUGAACGCUGGCGGCAGGCCUAACACAUGCAAGUCGAACGGUAACAGGGAUCAGCUUGCUGAUUCGCUGACGAGUGGCGGACGGGUGAGUAAUGUCUGGGAAACUGCCUGAUGGAGGGGGAUAACUACUGGAAACGGUAGCUAAUACCGCAUAACGUCGCAAGACCAAAGAGGGGGACCUUCGGGCCUCUUGCCAUCGGAUGUGCCCAGAUGGGAUUAGCUAGUAGGUGGGGUAACGGCUCACCUAGGCGACGAUCCCUAGCUGGUCUGAGAGGAUGACCAGCCACACUGGAACUGAGACACGGUCCAGACUCCUACGGGAGGCAGCAGUGGGGAAUAUUGCACAAUGGGCGCAAGCCUGAUGCAGCCAUGCCGCGUGGAUGAAGAAGGCCUUCGGGUUGUAAAGUACUUUCAGCGGGGAGGAAGGGAGUAAAGUUAAUACCUUUGCUCAUUGACGUUACCCGCAGAAGAAGCACCGGCUAACUCCGU
rnacentral:rRNA from 1 species